GUCACAGGUCGUGAAUUAUAGGACGCGUUUACACUGCUGUUCCAUCCCUCAAAAUCCCCAGUGGAUAUGUUGUACCUUAAGGCAUUAGAGGUAGUGUCCAGUUGAAUGUAUUGGGAAAUCCAUCGAUACCGUUACCAAGGUGAUUGUCACGUGACCAAUCAUUCUCACGACACUCUGGUGGUGGUAGAUUAUGUGAUGGUCGUUGAACCCAUGUACCAUUGACAGUUGUACCGUUGGGAAACUGAGCUGAGUUAUAGUUCUUACAUUGUACUGGAUUUUCUGGAAUCGUCCUGAAAUAAAAGGUAUGGUGAACAUUAGUUUGUCACGACAGGAUAAUGGAGGGGAGGAGUUAGGAAAUAGUAAGAUUUAAGCAUCAUUACAUGUAAAUACACUUGUAUAUUAUAACUGUGGCUUUCCAUGGUUCUGAAAAUCAACCUGCAUCCCAAAGUCAUGGAAUCCAAGUUGAAAAACUUCACAGUGAAGAUCUUAAACAUGUGCUUUUAAGGUACACACAAAAGGUUUAAAAUAAACAUAUACCGUGUUGUAGUACCAUCUCUGACUAAAUCACCACACAUAUACUGUAAAAUGAUCUCACAGUUAUUGUUUUGAUCUGCACACGAGUGCUGAUUGGUCCUGAGAAAUAAAUACAAUAUUAAACCAAAAAUAAACUUCAUUAAAAUUAUAAAUUUUGUGUAAUAUAUAAAUGAAGUAGUUUAUUUACCAUUCCACAGAUAAAAUUGAUCCUGCAUAAUAAUACAAACUACCAACAUUAUAACCGCCACGAUUGUUGUUUUGUGAAUCAAACAAUCUGAAAAAUAACGUGACGUUUAAUUGAAAUGACGACUUACAAAAA